rnacentral:misc_RNA from 1 species
ACAAACUUGGUCAUUUAGAGGAAGUAAAAGUCGUAACAAGGUUUCCGUAGGUGAACCUGCGGAAGGAUCAUUAUUGAAUAAACCUGGCUUGCUGAUGCUGGUCUCUCCGGAGGCAUGUGCUCGCUUGUCCAUCUUUAUAUCUCCACCUGUGCACACUCUGUAGACUUGCAAUCGAGGUUUUGGGAAUUUCCCUUGACAGCCUUUGCUCGCUACGUUUUUUCAUAUACCCCAUGAAAAUGUAACAGAAUGUAUCACUAGGUCUUUGAACCUAUAAAACAAUAUACAACUUUCAGCAACGGAUCUCUUGGCUCUCGCAUCGAUGAAGAACGCAGC